rnacentral:rRNA from 1 species
AGAGUUUGAUCAUGGCUCAGGAUGAACGCUAGCGGCAGGCUUAAUACAUGCAAGUCGAGGGGCAGCGGGGUAGCAAUACCGCCGGCGACCGGCAAACGGGUGCGGAACACGUACAGAACCUUCCUUUAAGCGGGGAAUAGCCCGAAGAAAUUCGGAUUAAUACUCCAUAUUAAUAUUUAAUGGCAUCAUUAGAUAUUUAAAGAUUUAUCACUUAGAGAUGGCUGUGCGGCUGAUUAGGUAGUUGGUGUAGGUAACGGCUCACCAAGCCUGCGAUCAGUAACUGGUGUGAGAGCACGACCAGUCACACGGGCACUGAGACACGGGCCCGACUCCUACGGGAGGCAGCAGUAAGGAAUAUUGGUCAAUGGACGCAAGUCUGAACCAGCCAUGCCGCGUGAAGGAUGAAGGUCCUCUGGAUUGUAAACUUCUUUUAUAUGGGAAGAAAUGCAUUCUUUAUAGAGUGUUUGACGGUACCAUAGGAAUAAGCACCGGCUAACUCCGUGCCAGCAGCCGCGGUAAUACGGAGGGUGCAAGCGUUAUCCGGAUUCACUGGGUUUAAAGGGUGCGUAGGUGGGUCUGUAAGUCAGUGGUGAAAUCUCCGUGCUUAACACGGAAACUGCCAUUGAUACUAUAGAUCUUGAAUAUUCUGGAGGUUAGCGGAAUAUGUCAUGUAGCGGUGAAAUGCUUAGAUAUGACAUAGAACACCAAUUGCGAAGGCAGCUAACUACAGGGUUAUUGACACUGAGGCACGAAAGCGUGGGGAUCAAACAGGAUUAGAUACCCCUGUAGUCC